CAGCCGCCGCGGGAAAACAGAGGGUGCGAGCGUUAAUCGGAUUUACUGGGCGUAAAGCGUGCGUAGGCGGCUUUUUAAGUCGGAUGUGAAAUCCCUGAGCUUAACUUAGGAAUUGCAUUCGAUACUGGGAAGCUAGAGUAUGGGAGAGGAUGGUAGAAUUCCAGGUGUAGCGAUGAAAUGCGUAGAGAUCUGGAGGAAUACCGAUGGCGAAGGCAGCCAUCUGGCCUAAUACUGACGCUGAGGUACGAAAGCAUGGGGAGCAAACAGGAUUAGAUACCCCAGUAGUCCCUGUCUCUUAUAC
rnacentral:rRNA from 1 species